GAUGAACGCUGGCGGCGUGCCUAAUACAUGCAAGUCGAGCGAACAGAUGAGGAGCUUGCUCCUCUGACGUUAGCGGCGGACGGGUGAGUAACACGUGGAUAACCUACCUAUAAGACUGGGAUAACUUCGGGAAACCGGAGCUAAUACCGGAUAAUAUAUUGAACCGCAUGGUUCAAUAGUGAAAGACGGUUUUGCUGUCACUUAUAGAUGGAUCCGCGCCGCAUUAGCUAGUUGGUAAGGUAACGGCUUACCAAGGCAACGAUGCGUAGCCGACCUGAGAGGGUGACCGGCCAAACUGGAACUGAGACACGGUCCAGACUCCUACGGGAGGCAGCAGUAGGGAAUCUUCCGCAAUGGGCGAAAGCCUGACGGAGCAACGCCGCGUGAGUGAUGAAGGUCUUCGGAUCGUAAAACUCUGUUAUUAGGGAAGAACAAAUGUGUAAGUAACUAUGCACGUCUUGACGGUACCUAAUCAGAAAGCCACGGCUAACUACGUG
rnacentral:rRNA from 1 species